rnacentral:rRNA from 1 species
AUUGAACGCUGGCGGCAGGCCUAACACAUGCAAGUCGAGCGGUAGAGAGAAGCUUGCUUCUCUUGAGAGCGGCGGACGGGUGAGUAAUGCCUAGGAAUCUGCCUGGUAGUGGGGGAUAACGUUCGGAAACGGACGCUAAUACCGCAUACGUCCUACGGAGAAAGCAGGGGGACUUUGGGGCCUGCGCUUUCCGAUGAACCUAGGUCGGAUUAGCUAGUUGGUGGGGUAAUGGCUCACCAAGGCGACGAUCCGUAACUGGUCUGAGAGGAUGAUCAGUCACACUGGAACUGAGACACGGUCCAGACUCCUACGGGAGGCAGCAGUGGGGAAUAUUGGACAAUGGGCGAAAGCCUGAUCCAGCCAUGCCGCGUGUGUGAAGAAGGUCUUCGGAUUGUAAAGCACUUUAAGUUGGGAGGAAGGGCAGUAAAUUAAUACUUUGCUGUUUUGACGUUACCGACAGAAUAAGCACCGGCUAACUCUGUG